UACAGAGGUCUCAAGCGUUGUUCGGAAUCGCUGGGCGUAAAGGGUGCGUAGGCGGCGGGGAAAGUCAGAUGUGAAAUCCGGAGGCUCAACCUCCGAAUUGCAUCCGAUACUCCCUCGCUAGAGAUUUGUAGAGGAGCUUGGAAUUCUCGGUGUAGCAGUGAAAUGCGUAGAUAUCGAGAAGAACGCUCGCAGCGAAGGCGAAGCUCUGGGCAAAUUCUGACGCUGAUGCACGAAGGCUAGGGGAGCAAACGGG
rnacentral:rRNA from 1 species